GAUGAACGCUGGCGGCGUGCUUAACACAUGCAAGUCGAACGGAAAGGCUCCUGCUUGCAGGGGUACUCGAGUGGCGAACGGGUGAGUAACACGUGGGUGAUCUGCCCUGCACUUCGGGAUAAGCCUUGGAAACUGGGUCUAAUACCGGAUAGGACGAUGGUUUGGAUGCCAUUGUGGAAAGUUUUUCGGUGUGGGAUGAGCUCGCGGCCUAUCAGCUUGUUGGUGGGGUAAUGGCCUACCAAGGCGUCGACGGGUAGCCGGCCUGAGAGGGUGUACGGCCACAUUGGGACUGAGAUACGGCCCAGACUCCUACGGGAGGCAGCAGUGGGGAAUAUUGCACAAUGGGCGCAAGCCUGGUGCAGCGACGCCGCGUGGGGGAUGACGGCCUUCGGGUUGUAAACUCCUUUCGCUAGGGACGAAGCGCAAGUGACGGUACCUGGAGAAGAAGCACCGGCUAACUACGUG
rnacentral:rRNA from 1 species